rnacentral:rRNA from 1 species
ACGCGAAGAACCUUACCUGGGCUCGAAAUGCAGAUGACAACUGAUGAAAGUCGGCUCCCGCAAGGGCGUCUGUAUAGGUGCUGCAUGGCUGUCGUCAGCUCGUGUCGUGAGAUGUUGAGAUAAAAAAACGCAACGAGCGCAACCCUCGUCCUCUGUUGCCAUCAGGUCAAGCUGGGCACUCUGAGGAGACUGCCGGUGAUAAACCGGAGGAAGGUGGGGAUGACGUCAAGUCAGCAUGGCCUUUAUGUCCAGGGCCACACACGUGCUACAAUGGCGGAUACAAAGCGCUGCAAACCCGCGAGGGUGAGCCAAUCGCAUAAAGUCCGUCUCAGUUCGGAUCGUCUGUUUCGACUUUUGACUGCGUGAAGUUGGAAUCGCUAGUAAUCGCGGAUCAGCAUGCCGCGGUGAA